rnacentral:rRNA from 1 species
CAAGGAUUCCCCUAGUAACUGCGAGUGAAGCGGGAAAAGCUCAAAUUUAAAAUCUGGCGGUCUUUGGCCGUCCGAGUUGUAAUCUAGAGAAGUGUUAUCCGCGCUGGACCGUGUACAAGUCUCCUGGAAUGGAGCGUCAUAGAGGGUGAGAAUCCCGUCUUUGACACGGACUGCCAGGGCUUUGUGAUGCGCUCUCAAAGAGUCGAGUUGUUUGGGAAUGCAGCUCAAAAUGGGUGGUAAAUUCCAUCUAAAGCUAAAUAUUGGCGAGAGACCGAUAGCGAACAAGUACCGUGAGGGAAAGAUGAAAAGAACUUUGGAAAGAGAGUUAAACAGUACGUGAAAUUGCUGAAAGGGAAACGCUUGAAGUCAGUCGCGUUGUCUGGGGAUCAACCUUGCUUUUGCUGGGCGUACUUUCCAGAUGACGGGUCAGCAUCAAUUUUGACCGUUGGAUAAAGUCUGGAGGAAUGUGGCAUCUUCGGAUGUGUUAUAGCCUCUAGUUGCAUACAACGGUUGGGAUUGAGGAACUCAGCACGCCGCAAGGCCGGGUACUUGUACCACGUUCGUGCUUAGGAUGCUGGCAUAAUGGCUUUAAUCGACCCGUCUUGAAACACGGACCAAGGAGUCUAACAUGCCUGCGAGUAUUUGGGUGGAAAACCCGAGUGCGUAAUGAAAGUGAAAGUUGAGAUCCUUGUCAUGGGGAGCAUCGACGCCCGGACCAGACCUUUUGUGACGGAUCUGCGGUAGAGCAUGUAUGUUGGGACCCGAAAGAUGGUGAACUAUGCCUGAAUAGGGUGAAGCCAGAGGAAACUCUGGUGGAGGCUCGUAGCGAUUCUGACGUGCAAAUCGAUCGUCAAAUUUGGGUAUAGGGGCGAAAGACUAAUCGAACCAUCUAGUAGCUGGUUCCUGCCGAAGUUUCCCUCAGGAUAGCAGAAACUCAUAUCAGAUUUAUGUGGUAAAGCGAAUGAUUAGAGGCCUUGGGGUUGAAACAACCUUAACCUAUUCUCAAACUUUAAAUAUGUAAGAACAAGCCGUCUCUUGAGU